GUGAGGGAGGGUGUGACUAGUGACAGUUAGGCAGGGAAGGGGUGACUAGUGACAGAGGGAGGGGUGACUAGGGACAGAGUGAGGGAGGUGGUGACUAGUGACAGUCACCACCUCCCUCACUCUGUCACUAGUCACCACCUCCCUCCGUCACUGUGUCACCCCCUCCCUCACACUGUCACCAGUCAUCCCCUUACUCUGUCACUAGUCACCCCUCCCUCAC